rnacentral:rRNA from 1 species
CACCCGCAGCUCGAGUGGUGGUCACUUUUAUUGAGCCUAAAGCGUUUGUAGCCGGUUUUGCAAAUCUUCAGAUAAAUUCCUCUGCUUAACAGAUGAUCUUCUGAAGAGACUGCGAGACUUGGGACCGGGUGAGGUUGAAGGUACUUCCGGGGUAGGGGUAAAAUCCUGUAAUCCUGGAAGGACGACCGGUGGCGAAGGCGUUCAACUAGAACGGAUCCGACGGUGAGGAACGAGGGCUAGGGUAGCAAACCGGAUUAGAUACCCGGGUAGUCCUAGCUGUAAACACUGCCCACUUGGUGUUGCCCCUCCGAUGAGGGGAGGCAGUGCCGGAGCGAAGGUGUUAAGUGGGCCGCUUGGGGAGUAUGGUCGCAAGGCUGAAACUUAAAGGGAUUGGCGGGGGAGCACCGCAACGGGAGGAGCGUGCGGUUUAAUUGGAUUCAACGCCGGAAAACUCACCGGGAGCGACCUUUGGAUGAGAGUCAGCCUGAUGAGCUUACUCGAUAGAAGGAGAGGUGGUGCAUGGCCGUCGUCAGCUCGUACCGUAGGGCGUUCACUUAAGUGUGAUAACGAGCGAGACCUCCAUCUCUAAUUGCUAACGUGCAUUCGCGUGCACGCGCACUUUAGAGGGACCGCCAGUGCUAAACUGGAGGAAGGAGGGGUCGACGGCAGGUCAGUACGCCCCGAAUCUCCCGGGCAACACGCGCGCUACAAAGGGCAGGACAAUGAGUUGCCACCUCGAAAGGGGGAGCUAAUCUCGAAACCUGUUCGUAGUUAGGAUUGAGGGCUGUAACUCGCCCUCAUGAAUGUGGAUUCCGUAGUAAUCGCGGGUCAACAGCCCGCGGUGAAUAUGCCCCUGCUCCU